GUGACCUCAGAUCAGGCGAGACCACCCGCUGAGUUUAAGCAUAUCACUAAGCGGAGGAAAAGAAACUAACAAGGAUUCCCUUAGUAGCGGCGAGCGAACCGGGAAAAGCC
rnacentral:rRNA from 1 species